rnacentral:rRNA from 1 species
GAAGGUGUGCUGUGAGGCAUGCUGGAGGUAUCAGAAGUGCGAAUGCUGACAUAAGUAACGAUAAAGCGGGUGAAAAGCCCGCUCGCCGGAAGACCAAGGGUUCCUGUCCAACGUUAAUCGGGGCAGGGUGAGUCGACCCCUAAGGCGAGGCCGAAAGGCGUAGUCGAUGGGAAACAGGUUAAUAUUCCUGUACUUGGUGUUACUGCGAAGGGGGGACGGAGAAGGCUAUGUUGGCCGGGCGACGGUUGUCCCGGUUUAAGCGUGUAGGCUGGUUUUCCAGGCAAAUCCGGAAAAUCAAGGCUGAGGCGUGAUGACGAGGCACUACGGUGCUGAAGCAACAAAUGCCCUGCUUCCAGGAAAAGCCUCUAAGCAUCAGGUAACAUCAAAUCGUACCCCAAACCGACACAGGUGGUCAGGUAGAGAAUACCAAGGCGCUUGAGAGAACUCGGGUGAAGGAACUAGGCAAAAUGGUGCCGUAACUUCGGGAGAAGGCACGC